CAGGCUGGGGUUUUGCUUUUCCUUUUUUCUCUCUCUGCAGGGCUGGAUGGGCAGGUGCUCCUCAUCAGCUGAUUUCCACCCUUUUUAAGGAGCUGGAACCAGGAGGAGGGCGUCAGUUCGUUAAUGCUUCAGCGUUGAACCCAGGAUCCCAAGCCCUGGAACCAUUCAGUCAGCCUCUAGGAACCUGUGAGGCUUCUGGUCUCAGAACCUUAAGACGCCCUCCUGCCUGAGCGCACCUGCCAGUCCACCCUCAGACACCACCAUCCGAUCUCGCCAACCGGACCUGCACCAAUAGGCUGGAUCACUGGACACCAUCCUCCCAAACAGACGCCAAGCCGUCCUCUCUCCGUAUCCUGACAACCCUGCCUGCCGGACUCCUCUCUGUACUUCCACAAACCUUCAAUAAAACCUUUAACUGAUCAUUGCCUCCGUGAUUGCUCCUAUUCAGAGUCUGAAAACCUAAACAUGAC